rnacentral:rRNA from 1 species
UGUACAAAGGUAGCAUAAUCAUUUGUCUUUUAAUUAAAGUCUGGAAUGAAUGGUUUGAUGAAAAAUUUACUUUCUUUAUUUUAAAAAAAUAAUUUGAUUUCUCAAUUAAAAAGUUGAGAUUAAAAUAUAGGACGAGAAGACCCUAUAGAACUUUAUUUCAAUAAAUAAAUAAUAUUUUGAUAAUUAAUUUUUAUUUUUUUUAAGAAAUUUUAUUGGGGUGAUAGAAAAAAAUUUAUAACUUUUUUUUAUUUUAUCAUUUAUGUAUGAUUUUUUUGAUCCUUUAUUAAGGAAAAAAGACUAAGUUACCUUAGGGAUAACAGCGUUAUUAUUUUGGAGAGUUCAUAUCGAUAAAAUAGUUUGCGACCUCGAUGUUGGAUUAAAAUAGGUUUCAGGAAUAGAAUAUUGAAAUACUAGGUCUGUUCGA